rnacentral:lncRNA from 10 species
GAGGCCCGCCGGCCCAGCAGAGGGCGCCCACCAAUCUGCACGCGGGCCCAGCGAGUUAUCUUGAUUUCGGCCAAGCUUUCUGACUGCUCCAAAAAACGAAGAAAAAGAUUCAGGGAGAGUAAGAGGAUGAAGAGAGCUGGUGAAGCAGCUGACCAAAUGGCCCGAGGUGGACAGGACCAACCCUCUGCCCCCGGCUCAGGCCAGAGCUCGGCGAGACCGUCGCUGUUUAACAAGCAUUUGCUAUACGCCACCUUGCAUUAUGACAGCAUGUGACCCACACAGCCAUCCUAGGAAGCAGCAGUUCUCAAGUCACCAAUGGGUAAAAGGCUUCAGUGAUCCACUCCUACAGCCAAAAGGCACUGCUCGGUCUCUUCAGCCUCAGAUGGUUCACUCCUGGAAACAUUUUUCCACUUGGCUUCAUGACACCACAGUCCUGGUCUUUCUCGUCCCAGGUAAGGAGAGUCCUGGUCUUUGUCAACCCAGGUGGCCACUAUUACUUUGUCGUCUUAAUAUUCAGUUCUGGAUCUCUUCUUAUUCUAUACCCUUCCUAGGCACUGUCCCCUCCCACAGCCUCCUUCUCACCUUUUCCAUAACCAUGUCUAGGCCCGGCAGCCCCACAUUUACCACUUGCACACCAGACCUUAUAAUUCCAGGCCUGAAUAUCCACCUGCCCAGGGACACUCCCACUUGGAUGUCCCGAGCACCUCCAUUUUGCCAUGUCUGAAACAGAAUUCAGCAUCAGUUCCUCACAACUGGUCUUCUACAGACUUCCCCAGUAAUCCCUCAACCCACCUGCCAAUAUUUAAGCUGUUUGUAAGCCACUCAUGCAAACAUUCAAUAACCCAACUACGUGUCAUAGAUUGGUCUGAACACCUAGCUGUUAACAUAAAGAUGAGCAUAAAAGACAAAACCCCUGCCCUAUUGAAGCUAGUUCAGUAAUCACACACAUUCCAACCGUGGUAUAUGAGGUGGAGAAGAGGUACAAAGGAAAACGAGAGGGUACCACAGGACUUGACUGAGUGUGGCAGGCCACGGAUGGCUCCCUGACACAGUAACCUUAAGUAACACAUCCUGAGGCUGAGCAGGAAUUCAUUAGGUGGAGACAGGGAGCGAACUCCUGCAGAGAGGAAAGAGGGGCAGAAAGCCUGGCACUCACUGGCACUGUCGAUUCCCCACAUGACCUUUCAAUCCCUUGCCUCUUGAGAGGAACCAUCUCUGCUUUGCUCAUCACUGUUUCCUUGAUGCUGAGUAAAACAUGACUCACAGGAAGGAUGCAAAAACUACAAAAAUGGAGGCCUCACUCCACUACUCCAUUCUGUGACAUAAGCCACGUCAACUCUUUCAACACUCUGGCACCACUUUCAACACUCUGGUACUAGAAUAACUCAGUGUUCUAAUAUGUAAAAUGUAAAUGCUUGCCUUGCAAACCUGCUGAGAAGCAAAUCCAUUAUUUAAUGAAUAAAAAGCACUUGAUAAAAGCACUAUUCCCAAAAUUAAGAAUUAAAUUAUGAGAGAUCUUCAACAGACCAAAAACAAAUGUUCACAGUCCCUGCUUUAUUUCCAUUUGUUCACACACGCUUUAAAAAAAAAAAAAAAAACACAUGCACUCACAC